UCUUUUCUAAUAUGUGGUAGACUCUCCCUCUCUCCCCAUUUCAAUUUUUUUUUCUUUAUUACUUUAUUUCUAUGUGAAUCUGAUAAGUGGCCAUGAACCACCAUGGCCAUCACCCUACGAGACCUCGACGAGGGGCAAUUUGCCUUCGAAACAAUCUAAAAUACUGAUCUUAAACCCUUAUUUUCUCUAAACCGAACCUUUAAACUUCCAAAACCCCUCCAACCCGCAACCUAACAAAGAAUGCACCUUGAACGCUCCGACCAACGCUUGGUCACCGGUGAGAGCCUUAAAUCCGAGGGCAUGGGUAUGGUGAGUGGCGUAGGGCGUGAUGAGUGGAGGUGGGUGUAUGGGUAGUGGAGCAUGGGUAUAUUAGUGGAGCAUGAGUUGGUGCUGCUGCACAUGGGUGGUGUUUGGCGUGGGGGAAAAGGCAUGGGUAUAUGGUGGGAAUAAUAAAAAAUGAUUUGCAAGCUCAAGAGAUAGUGGUGGGGUUUGAAAUAAAAAAAGAUGGUAUUUAAUUGGGGUAGUGGGCUAUAAAAAUAAAAAAAAAUGAUAGUGGAGAAGUAAGUGGAAAAAUGAGUUGUCUACGUGAUUUUGGAAAUGGUGAUAAAGUGAGAAUGAAAAAAUUUUAAGGUAAGUCAUCCAAGUUUGGUAAAAGUUUAAUCUUGUUUCCAGCUUCUAAAUGGUUAUAUAUAUAUGACUUAAUGGUUUUAAGAAGAUCAAUUUACUCCUUGAUUUCAGUAAUUGAAUAUUAUAAUAGCUCCACAAGUUUUUAUUUUUACCAAUUGGGCCCGUAAAUUAUUAUUUAAUUCUAAUAAGUUAUUUUUAUGGUGAGAAAAAUUUAUUUGGAUUCAAAUUCAGAACAGAGAUGGUCCGAGUUCAUGAGAGAAAGGUUGGAAUCUUGAAAUUAAGGUUGUUCCUCUCGAUCGUUUCGUUCGUAAUUACCCGAAUGGUUCAAUAAAACCUUUUGAAUAAAUCUUUUAAAAUAUUACUCCGAUGGUAACUUUUUUCUAAUCUGGUUUAGGAUGGUGUACCGUCGUAGAUCGUAGCAAGACCAAUGAUUAUUAGAUCUCCCAAACCGACCUAUUUUGUAAGGUACUUCUCGGAUGUGAUAUGGAGUUCUACAAGUUCAACGCCGAUUAGGCUGGUAAAUCCUUAUGGGCCUAAGGUAACCCUCGAUUGGGAUUCUAGGCCAAAUGGGCCUAGUGUAAGACGUUAUGGACCCUAAGGCACUCCCUUAGGCUGGCUACUUUGCUUUGUGCAAUGGGUAAGUCCUUAUGGACAUAGGGGCACUCCCCUCAUAUGGCUCAUACGCUUCAGCUAUGGUAAGUCCUUAUAGACCCAAGGUGCUCUCUUAGGUUGGCUUCUAGAUCCUUUGGGCCUAGGGUAAGUCCUUAUGGAUACAGUGAUGGGGAACUACAUAUGGUGUACGGUUGGAGGGUAAUUAAAUGAUUUAACUGUAAAGUUUUACCAUGACUUUCAUACUAUGAGAUUGAACUAAUUUAAAGACUUAUUUGUAUGUUUUAUUUUGUACUUAUUGGAACACACUGAGCUCCCUAGUUCACUCCCCUAAAUUUCCCCCCUUUCAGAUAUUUUGGAUAGGCACCUCAGACCCAACACUUGGAGGAUCAACACAUUUCGUACAUUAUAUGUUUAUGUAAUGUUUUAAUCUUUCGAACUACCUAUCUUUUGGUAAAAUGUGCCUAGGU